rnacentral:sRNA from 1 species
UGGUGUCCUGUAGUUCUACCAGUACUCUAUUAACAGGAAUUAGCUAUAUGACAAGCAAAAUAUUUAAGUUAAAUGUUUCUACACCACUACUUCAGUGAUUGUCAGUAGUAGUUGUCAUAGUGUUUCUGAAAGACUGCAAGGUUCCAAAUGCCCUUUAAAUCAUUGGAGAAAGUCUAAAUCAUGUUCAACAUCAUAAUUGAUGCUGAGCAGAUUUUAUUACAUUUUAUUCACAGCCUUAAAAAUGUAUAAUUUAAAUACAGACUAUGUGCUAAACAGUCUACAGAUAGAAAUAAUGAUUAACUGAGUACCUUAUUUAUUGAAUAGAUCACAUAAGAAAAGCAAAAAUAUGUGUUAAAAAUUUGUGAUACCUCUGAUUCUUUCAUCCACUUUAGUGAGGUGUUAAUAUGAGAUUCUGCUGUUACCACAGUCAUUGUUUUCCUGUACUUGUGAACGAUUUAUCAUUGAUCGAAGUAUUGGAAUUCCUUUUUUAAAUUUCUAAUGAAAAGUUUUGUUUUGAAACUUCUGAUUUGUUUUAAGAAUUUUGCUAUUCUUUUUUCUGCUGACUUUGGAUUCGUCCAUUGAGUCUUUCAACAUUUAUUGAAUACACUAUGGUUUUGGUAAUAGUCUCUGUCUUGAAGCCAGGAAAGACUGAAUAUGCCACAAUCCCAGAAUCAUGGGUAGGAAUGGAGAAAGGGAAGAAAACAGCAAAGAGCUGUAAGCCAAUAGUAAGUGUGCCAAUAAACAGGGUCUAGAGCACAGCAGUUGGGCUUGGAAGAGUUACACACACUUGGCUAGAAUGUAUUGUAGUCAGGAUCUGAACCUCUAUUCCCUAAUGCCCCGAGCCUAUUUCCUUACCUCUGAGGGGGGGUAGAGCCCCUAUGCAUAGGGUAGACAGGAGUAGUAAAGGAGAAAAGUGUAUGAACUAGUACCUGCCCGAGUCAGCACUCAUUCAGUGGUAGCUAUAUUAUAAAAUAUUAUUCUAACAGAAAAAUUAGUGUGAUAACUUAAGGAGUACAUACAUGGACUAUAAUUUUUAUAUGUAUUUGUCAACUAUAUACAAAAGGACGAAUAAUUAGAAAUUCUGUGAGAAAACAGGUUCACAUGUAUCAUGCUGGUUGCAAAAUGAUUCAUUGUAUUUACUAUUUCAGGUACCAAAGCAGUCAGACUCACAGCCUAAUUCUGAUAACCUAAGUCGCCAUGGUGAAUGUGGGAAAAAGCAAGUGUCUUACAGAACUGAUAUUGUUGGUGGCGUACCCAUCAUUACUCCCACUCAGAAAGAAGAAGUAAAUGAAUGUGGUGAAAGUAUUGACAGAAAUAAUCUGAAACGGUCACAAAGCCAUCUUCCUUACUUUACUCCUAAACCACCUCAAGAUAGUGCGGUUAUCAAAGCUGGAUAUUGUGUAAAACAAGGAGCAGUGAUGAAAAACUGGAAGAGAAGAUAUUUUCAGUUGGAUGAAAACACAAUAGGCUACUUCAAAUCUGAACUGGUAUGUUACGUCAUAAAUGUUGCUGUAAGAAUGUUUGAAAAGUGUUGCAUUGUAGUGAUUAUAUAUAAUUUCUUGUACUGUUCCCUAGUUUUAGAAGAAGUCUAGUUUUUAGAGGUACAUAUAGUUUAUUUGGUUGUGAUGCUUUUGGUUAAUGAUAUUUUUCUUAAAUACAUUUUUAAGUAAAAAGAUCCUAUCUUCAAAGCAGCAUUCCACCUUGAAAGAUCUGAAGAUCUCAGAAUCCUCUAGUCUAUAAAUUUCCUCUAAAGGGGCUGUCCUCUUGGGGGGUUAGCCCCACGUGGAGUACAGAGAGAAGGACAUCCACCUGGGGAGGGGGUGGUGGCAGAGAUGGGAGAAUGGUCACAUGCACACGAUUGAUAAAAUCAGGAACUAUAUUAAGGAUAAUAGAAGCCAAGUCUUUUCAGAGAAACAAUACUUUUUGGUGAAUGAAUGUAUAUCUAUAUGUAUGAUGAGGAAUGAGAUAUUGACAUAGUUUCAAAGUACCUAUCUACUAAAAUAGGUAUUAAGUAUUGUACAAGGGGAAAAAGAGUAAGUAACAUUACAGUGAGGAAAGUGGUGUAAAGAAUUCUGUCUGUAAAAGUCAAUAUUUAACCCUCUGUAUUUCUACCUUCUCUUGAGAUUUUCUUUACCUAUUUCACAUUGACUCAUAAAUCACUUCACAUAAGAUGUUUUUAUCCUCCCUGAAGGUAGAAUCAGAAAUUGAAAUUCCCUCUUGGCCUUGUUUGAGUUGCAUCCUUAUUUAAAAUAUUCUAGGGUGAUCUGAGUCCUGAAGUAGCUUAUUGGAUAAAUUGAAUGCAAUUCUGUAGUAUACAUGUCUAUCCUACCUCUUCUUUUUGUAUGGGACCUUUGAGAAGGGAACUUAUACUUUAUUUGAAUGAAGUCACCAGAACAGCAUUGUCCAUUAGAACUUUCUCCACAAAUGGAAAUGUGCCGUAUCUGUAUUGUCCAAGGGCACUAGCUACAUGUAGCUGUUGAGUGCUGGAAAUGUGGCUAGUGUGACUGAGGAACUGACUUUAUUUCAUUUUAAUUAAUUUAAAUUUACAUCAUUACACACAAUGGCCACUGUAUUGGCCAGCAGAGCACUAGUGUAUAGGAAGGGAACAUUUUAAGAUUCACCUCAGGAGUCAGCUCUUCUGGGAAGCUUUUAGACUCUGGGUUAAGUGUCUUCUCUUUAUAUGCCCUGUGGUACCCUAUGCAUACUUGUAUCAUAAUGCUCUUCCCAGAGUUUUGCAAUCACGUGCAUUCUUGUCUUUGCAACUAAAUUAAAUGAGCUUCUUAAGGGUAAAGACUCUUGUAGUCUUUUAUGAUCACAGGGCCUGGCACUUGAUAGACAAUAAGUGUCUUUGAAUGAAUGAAAAAUGGCAUAGCAUAGCAAGAAAUGCCAUUUUAGCAUGGGGCUUUCUCAAAGCUUAAGAGCCUCAACUGAAAGUAGUAGUUACUUGUUUCAGAAAGUACCUGCCUUGUUGUCUCAGAAGGCUAUCCUUGUGCUUGGUUAGCAGGUUGUCUCAUUGAUUUUAUUUAAAGCCAAUACUCCUGGGAAGAGUCAUUCAUGCGACAGACAUUCAUUGAGCUCUCCAUGAACCUGGUGCACUGUUCUGGGAACUGGAAAUAAAAGAGAAUAAUUAGCAAAGUUCUCUGGCCUUCAGGAGUUCAGUUUUGGUGGGGAAAUUGACAUGUGUCCCCAUCAUCAACAGUAGUUUUAAUAAUUAGGAAUAUUUUUAGUAUUUAGAAAUUGCAGAUAAAGCUGAAAACCUUUAAAGGUCAGUAAUUAUAACUAUACUUAAGUUUUCCUAAUUUUACAGAGUAUAGUUUAUCUCCUAUGGUAGUUCUUUGUUCUUCCUCUCAAAUUUCACAGAAUAAUGCCCAGCAUACAGGUUUUCAAAACUUAGUAUUUCUGUAAUAGUUCUUGUUUCAGCUCCCCCUCCCCCAGUUUUAACAUUUCUGAAGUCUUAGCAGUAUGUCUUAGAGUUGCUAAGGACGAGGGGCAGCCAGGCUGCAGCUGUGCUGUAGUUGACUGCUUGCCAUACGCACAGUACCUUUGGGUAAAAUCCAGAAGACACCGGCAUCAGCAUGUGCAGAAAAGGGUGGUGGGAGCUUGGGAGGAAAUCUCAGGGACACCAUGAAACAUUCUUAAAUACUGCAUCAUGAACACUCUUUUUGGCACAAAGAAUGGCUUGGAGUGAAAAAUAUGGACAUUGGUGGCUCCAAGUCAAAAAGUGAUUCAGAAGAUCUGGAAUCUGAAUGUGAAAUCUUAAAAACUGUAACCAGUUUAUCUUGUUUAUAUUUUUCUUUUUUAUAUAUGCUCAAGAAUAAUACAUGAUAAAAAUGUUUAAAGUGUAAAUGGGCUCUUUUAUAAAACCUUUUCAUCAUGGAAAAGUGUAAACGUACCCUUUUAGUAGAUAGAAAUAAUACAUGGACUGCAUAUACCCAUCACCUAGAUGUCAUAAUUGUUAACACAUGGCUCAGCUCGUCUUGUUUCUUCUGUUUCACCACCUACUUCCUGCUCCAUAUUUUGAGGCAAAUCCUAGAUGUCUCCCAUUUCAUCUGUAAAUAUCUCAGUGUGUAUCUCUAAAAGAUCAUUUAAAAAUUUUAAAAAUAAGUAUAAAAGACUUAAGUGCACAGCCGAAAAAUUGGUGAAAAUAUUUGCAACAUGUAUUAGAGAUAAAACUUAUAAGGAAUCUUAAAAACUGAGGGGAUUUUUCCUCACCUACUUUGCUCUCUUUUCCUUCCAUCAAUCUGAAACGAUUCAGACUCCAAUUUAUUAGGUGAGGCAAAGCAACAUAGGCAUCCAAGAGGAACCAGUGUAGCUUUGUGUGGGUGUCAGAGCCCACGCAGGACAAGGAGGCUGUCCUCUUGGGGGGUUAGCCCCACGCGGAGUAGGGAGAAAAGGGCAUCCACAUGGGGAAGGGGUGGUGGCAGAGAUGGGAGAAUGGUCACAUACACACUGAUUGAUAAAAUCAAGAACUAUAUUAAGGAUAAUAGAAGCCAAAUCUUGUCAGAGAAACAAUACUUUUUGGUGAAUGGAUGUAUAUCUGUAUGUAUGAUGAGAAAUAAAAUAUUUGCAUAGUUUCAAAGUACCUGUCUACUAAAAUAGGUAUUAAGUAUUGUACAAGGGGGAAAAGAAUAACAUUACAGUGAGGAAACCUGGCAGAUACCACUUUACUCAGGUUGGUCAGAUGAUUAAAGUGAAUGUCAUUGGUAAUGAGGUAAAUUGAAAUCACCUGACAGGAUAGUGGACGAAGAAGACAGCGUCACUUCUGUGAAACCCCUGCCCAAGGUAUGUAAUCAGAAUCCCAUCAUGAGGCACACCCAAAUGAGGGACAUUCUACAAAAUAACUACCUUGCAGUCUUCAUAGAGUGAAGAUUAUGAAAGUCAAGGAAUAAUGAGGAACUGUUCCAGACUGAGGGAAAGAAAAUAUUUGACAAGCAGAUGGUAUUCAUGCUUCUGAACUGAAUCCUUUUGCUCUAAUAAAAGACAUUUUGGGCACAGUUUUCUGAUUCUGAUGAGUGUAUUGUGAUUAUGUAAGAGAAUGUCUUUGUAGGAAAAGUAUUCAGGGGUAGUGUGGGACAGGUCAGCAACUCAUUCUGAAAUGGUUCAGGAAAAUCAGUUCUUUGUGCUGUAUUUUCAAUCCUUGUAUAAAUUAGUGUUUGUUUCAAAGACUAAAAAAGAGAAAAUGGAGGGGAAGAUAUCUGGUAGGCAAAUGAACAAAAGACAUGAAUAGGCAAUUCAUUUAAAAAUUAAAAUAGGUCUUAAAAUAUUAAAAAUCAGCAUCACUGAUAAUUAGAGAAAUGCAAAUUAAAACUGCAAUGAAAUAUUCUCAUCCAUCAUGAGAAGGUUGUGGCUGAGUUAAGAGAUUGGCAAAUCCCCACCCACCCUGCCCAAAAGCAACUGUAAAUGCCAUUCUGUAAACAAAAGGAAUCGGGAACCCUUGGUGAUGUGACUGAUUUCAGAGCUGGGGCAGAUAAAGUACAAGCUGAGCUCAGAAAGUGAAGUUGUACCAGAGGGUAAGGAAGUGGCUCAGAGAAUGAAUGGAACAUGUCAAAAGGACACAGAAAUUACCUUGAAGGAGCUGACCAAAAUGCAGACAAUUUAAACAACAAAAUAAGUAAUGAUAGUAAUGGAAUAUAACCCAUAGAAUAAAAUGAGUCAUAAAUAAAUAAAUGGAGAAGGAAAAAUAUUUCCUUAGAGUAAAAUUCUAUUUAAUAUAUGUAGAUGGAUUGAUGGGGUUAGAAAAAUCACCAUUUGGCAGCCACUAGUAAUGGUUUCAGGCAGGAGUUUUCAGGAUUUGAUAAAACUAGUUGCAAACUUAUGAUGGGAAACCUGGUAUUACUAUAGGUUCCAGGUAUCUCCCCACAAGAUACUUAACAAUGACAAAGGGAAAAAGUAAUUUUACAGUUACUGGCAAACAUGACCUUAAGCAACAGAUCAGGGUUAAUACACCAGUGACAGGACAGGCCACCAUCAGGUGUGUACCUCCUAAUAGUGGUCCACUGAGAAGAACAGUGUCAUGUCUGUGGCUUCCUGUCGAAAGUGUAUAACCUGAAUCUCAGCACGAGUAACAGACAAACCCAGACUGGGAGGUGUUCUGCAAAAAUAACUGGCCUGCACUUUUUUAAACUCUGGAAAACGAAUGAAGAACUAUUCCACAGUUAAAGGCGACAUGACGGCUGCAUACAUGGUAUGAUCCUGGAUUUAACUCUGGAUCAGAAAAUGGUUUUUGUACUGUAAAGAAUACAGGUAGGGCAGUUAGUGAAAUCUGAAGAUGGUCUGUAGAUGAUAGUACUGCAUCAGUGUCGAGUUUCCAGUUUUCAUAAUUGCACUGUGGCUAUGCAAGAGCACAUCCAUGUUUUAGGAAAUACUGAAGUAUUUAGUAAAGGCACAUCAUAUUUACAACUUAACCUUCAAGCAUUUCGAAUAUAUAUAUAUAUAUAUAUACACAUACACUCUCUCAGACACGUAUAUAAACAUAAACAUAAUGACAAAGCAAAUGUAAAAUAUCAACAGUUUAGAAAACAAGGUGUAGGUUAUGCAGAAAUUCUUUGUACUGUUUUUCUCAGUCUCUUAUUAAGUGUGAAAUUAUUUCAAAAUUAAACUAUUUUGUAAAACUUUUUAAAAGAGAGCUAUGUUUUUUUUUUUUUUUUAAAAGCACUCCCAGCUGGGCGUGGUGGCUCACGCCUGUAAUCCUAGCAUUUUGGGAGGCCAAGGUGGGCAGAUCACCAGAGGUCAGGAGCUCGAGACCAGCCUAGCCAACAUGGUAAAACCCCGUCUCUACUAGAAAUACAAAAAUUAGCUGGGCGUGGUGGCAGGCGCCUGUAAUUUCAGCUACUCGGGAGGCAGGAGAAUCCCCUUGAACCCAGGAGGCGGAGGUUGCAGUGAGCCAAGAUCGCACCAUUGCCCUCUAGCCUGGCCAACAAGAGCGAAACUCCAUCUCAAAAAACAAAACAAAACAAAAAGAAAACUCUCUCAUGGUUUAGUUUCAUUUUUGGUGCUACAUAAAGUAAUGGUAUGUCUUAAUCUCAUGCUGUCAUAUUCAAUGAAAUAUGUAUAUUGUAUUUUAUGGAAUGUAUACUAGAAAUAUGCUAUUAGGAACCAGUUUUAUAUUUGUAUCUUAUAUCUACUUUGUAACCUUGGGUGAGAUACUUAACGUGUCUAAUCUGUAGUUUCAGCACACGAAUAGUAGUACAUGUGUUGUAGCAUUGGGGAAAGUGUGAGAUAAAACAUUUAAAACCUAGCAGAUGUCUCAGCACUUAGUAAACAUUCAAUUUUGUAUUUAUAUAAAAGUGAUAUUUGUAAAAUCACAAAUUUAAGUCAAAGAAGCAGGAUGUGCACUUGCUCUGCUGCCUUGUGUAUCAAAGUGACAUUCCAGAAAAGGAGGUGCUGCGCAUACUGGUACGUGGGUCCAUCGGGGAAAGUCUGAUGGCUAAUAGCUUUUAAUUAGCUACACUGCCCUUAAGGCCAGAAAUAAUGUGAAUAAGGGCCGUAUGCAGUUUUUCUUGUCUCAAACAACAGUGUAUAUAAGGUUAUAGUGUUUGAGCUGUUCAGAUGCUGAAUGGUUUAAGAAGGUAGAUUUAUUUCUGAGAUAUGCUUCAGAAAAGAAGUGUGAUUUUCACAUGGGUCUCCAAAUAAGACAGCUAACCUUUGAAAGGAUUUUAAGAAUAAACAUCGUGUAUCUGAUUUUUUUUUUUUUUUUUUUUUUUUUGCCAGGAAAAGGAACCUCUUCGCGUAAUACCACUUAAAGAGGUUCAUAAAGUCCAGGAAUGUAAGCAAAGCGACAUAAUGAUGAGGGACAACCUGUUUGAAAUUGUAACAACAUCUCGAACUUUCUAUGUGCAGGUAAGAUACUUAUUUGGCAAUUAAUAGAUCCUCCUAACAAGAAAUUAACAAUUUUAGAGGUGAAAAAUAUGACAACUGUAAUUCACCAGCUUAAUAAAAGGGUGCUAUAUAUAGAGUUAUUAUUGGUGGGGUUAUAUGUUCAGGAAAUGGGGGUAUUUGUUAUGAAUUAGUGAACCAGAACUAAGUAUUUAGAGAAAGGGAAAUGCUUUUAAUUUAGAUGUUAAGUGUGUACUUUCAAGUUGGAUUAUUUUUGCACAUAUUUUAGAAUUUUGAUUUUUCUAUUAUAUCAUUUUUUGGUAACCUUAUUUUAAAAAACCCAUAAUAAAAGUAGACAGUAGAUCUAUAUAGUUUCACUAAUAGUAGGCAUCCUGUAUUUAAGUUUAACUUGUACUUUUUGCAUACCUCAUUGAAUUAUUUAAAUGGAAAAUUUUAAAAAAAGAUUUGGGCCGGCUGUGGUGGCUCACACCUGUAAUCCCAGCACUUUGGGAGGCCAAGGCAGGCACAUUGCUUGAGUCCAAGAGUUCGAGACCAGCCUGGGCAACAUGGCAAAACCCCAUCUCUACUAAAAAUACGAGCGUUAGCCAGCCGUGGUGGUGCAGGCUUGUAAUCCUAGCAACUUGGGAGGCUGAUGCAUGAGAAUGGCUUGAACCCAGGAGGUGGAGGUUACAGUGAGCUGAGAUUGUGUUACUGCACUCCCACCUGGGUGACAGAGACCCUGUCUCAAAAAAAAAAAAAAA